UCCCUGGUUGUCUAGUGAUAAUGAAUCGGCGAUCUCACCGCCGCGGCCCAGGUUCGAUUCCCGUCAGGGAA
rnacentral:tRNA from 1 species